GACAGAGGUGCCAAGCGUUAGGCGGAAUCACUGGGCUUAAAGCGUGUGUAGGCGGAUUCCUAAGUACCUUGUGAAAUCCCACGGCUCAACCGUGGAACUGCUCGGUAUACUGGGUAUCUUGAGCCACUUAGGGGCGACCGGAACAAAUGGUGGAGCGGUGAAAUGCGCAGAUAUCAUUUGGAACGCCAAUGGUGAAAACAGGUCGCUGGGAGUGUGCUGA
rnacentral:rRNA from 1 species